AUAUAUUUUGGCACAUGUCUGUUUCUGCCUUGCUCACUACAGUUCAAGCAGACGUGCUGACCACAGAGAAUUUCUUCUUAUUCCUAUUCUGUAACUGCCACAAUACUGUAUAAGGACUGACACUGCAGCUUCCAUCUUAGAGGCAGGAGUCUGUCUACCACAUGUUGCCAGUUCUAUAAAGGUUGUUAAGUGGGUGGGCCAUUCUAAUGGCCUUGGGUUAAAUGAUCUGACAAAAGGAUGACACUUUGAUGAAAGAUUAAAAAAUCACAAUGGAAGACUGUCAGAUGUUCACAGAUGUCCACUCCAAAGAAAUACUCUCCACAAUGAACACACUUCGUAAGGCUAACAAACUUUGUGAUGUUGUACUCAGAGUGGAGAAGCAAUGUUUUCCUGCUCAUCGCAUUGUUCUGGCUGCCAGCAGUGAUUAUUUUAAUGCCAUGUUUACAAAUGGGGUGA
rnacentral:sRNA from 1 species